GGGGGGUGGGGGGACAGCGAGGGACGGUGACCUCAUGCACUGCUGUCCCCGAUAGCACCGGGCUCCUCCUGUGCAUGUAAUCUGCUUGGCCCAGGGAACUUCACAUCCAAUCUCCACACAUCUUGCGCCUGGGCAGAGGCCACGCAGAGCAGAGGAGGCAGCUGUCAAGAGAGCGAGACCUCACUGGAGGCCAUCCCAUCACCAAAGGCAGCCACCAGCCAGGCGGAUGUGGCCCUCAUCCAGACCUCCCGCCAGAUGGCCACCCACUGGUCAUUCCAAGACCUCAUCAGGAGCAAAGGCCUCUCUGCCUCUGCCUACCACACGGCUGUGCCCUGCCCUUCAGCUCUCUUCUGAAGGAGAGAGGAGACCCGUGGCAGGACCAGGGUGGGGCAUGAAGCUGGCUCUGGGAGCAGAACGGGCCCUCUGGGGGUGUGUGAACCCUUCCAGUCACAGACGGAUUUGCUUUCAUCAACCUGGUGCCAAUUUCCACUUAAAAAAUGAUAUCCAGGAAAGACCAAGAACCUAGAAAGGAAAAAUGAAUCUCGGCUCCGACAGAUAGACGGGAGCCAGAGCUUCCCUACCAUGGAGCUGACGCUGUAACCACCUGUCUUUGUGGCAAAGAUGCAAGGUGAUGGGGAAUAUUUGGAUAGGCAUGUGGGGCUUGUG
rnacentral:lncRNA from 1 species